rnacentral:rRNA from 1 species
GACGAACGCUGGCGGCGUGCCUAAUACAUGCAAGUCGAGCGAAGUUUUUCUGGUGCUUGCACUAGAAAAACUUAGCGGCGAACGGGUGAGUAACACGUAAAGAACCUGCCUCAUAGACGGGGACAACUAUUGGAAACGAUAGCUAAUACCGGAUAACAGCAUAAAUCGCAUGAUAUAUGUUUAAAAGUUGGUUUCGGCUAACACUAUGAGAUGGCUUUGCGGUGCAUUAGCUAGUUGGUGGGGUAAAGGCCUACCAAGGCGACGAUGCAUAGCCGACCUGAGAGGGUGAUCGGCCACACUGGGACUGAGACACGGCCCAGACUCCUACGGGAGGCAGCAGUAGGGAAUCUUCCGCAAUGGGCGAAAGCCUGACGGAGCAACGCCGCGUGAGUGAAGAAGGAUUUCGGUUCGUAAAGCUCUGUUGUUAGGGAAGAAUGAUUGUAUAGUAACUAUAUACAGUAGAGACGGUACCUAACCAGAAA